AUUCUUUGCGUCCCUAGAAACAACGUCGACGUGCACAAGCAAGGUCACGCAUCAUAAAUGCCGUUUAUUCUAAAAAAGAGUGCUUUACCGAAACAGUAUGUCCUACAGUACUACCUAUCGUACAUUGUAUUCGAGUUGUUGCUUGGUAUAAAGCGCCCAUGUUUUGACGCGAAUCACUUGCAUCCAAAGACGAUUGGGUCACGUUCCUUUUCAGAAUCGCUCGUUUCUUUUAGUCCAACUGGUAGUAAUUACUAGUAAUUAGUACUUACAUAUAUAUACUAUUAUAUGUCGUAUUUUGUUUACAUUUCAGCAGUAUGCAUUGGAGGCAGAAAAUUUAUUCAAGCUCUGAAGUCCCAAACAACUGAAAAUGCUCCAAAACACCAUCACGUGACCCUGUAGCAGACACUACAUCUGCCUAUGAGCAAUGGACAGAACUGAGAAUACCAUAUCAUGAACCAUAGUGAACACUGCUGGCAACAUCCUGUUUUAGGAUCGAUUUCUCUACAUACAAGCCCCACCAGUGCAGUUGGAACACAACAGCAUCCCUCCUGAUCAAGUGAAAAGGAAUCCUAUGACACCACUUGAUCUUUGUCUGACAUGGAAAUCUGCAAAUCAAAUAAGGUGGAAGAAUAACAUCUGGUUAAAAAAAUUAUGUGGAAAAAUAUCUGCUUUAUGGUGAUGUCAUGAACUGGACGCUGCACUCUUGAUUCCAACACUAAUAUUGUCAUGACCAAAUGUUAAAGUUCAUAUUCAGCAAGUUGAAGAUAACUGACACCAUCUUUAAGUAUAAGUUUCACAAAUAUGGUAUUCAGAAGUUUUUUGUUUUCACUACUGAUGUAUAUAUAGUAUAAAAAAAUGGAUUUCUGUAAUAGAAUAAAGUAUUGGAAUACA